rnacentral:rRNA from 1 species
GACGAACGCUGGCGGCGUGCUUAACACAUGCAAGUCGAACGGAAAGGCCCUGCUUUUGUGGGGUGCUCGAGUGGCGAACGGGUGAGUAACACGUGAGUAACCUGCCCUUGACUUUGGGAUAACUUCAGGAAACUGGGGCUAAUACCGGAUAGGAGCUCCUGCUGCAUGGUGGGGGUUGGAAAGUUUCGGCGGUUGGGGAUGGACUCGCGGCUUAUCAGCUUGUUGGUGGGGUAGUGGCUUACCAAGGCUUUGACGGGUAGCCGGCCUGAGAGGGUUACCGGCCACAUUGGGACUGAGAUACGGCCCAGACUCCUACGGGAGGCAGCAGUGGGGAAUAUUGAACAAUGGGCGGAAGCCUGAUGCAGCAACGCCGCGUGCGGGAUGACGGCCUUCGGGUUGUAAACCGCUUUCGCCUGUGACGAAGCGUGAGUGACGGUAAUGGGUAAAGAAGCACCGGCUAACUACGUG